AUCUUGCGCAAUGGGCGUAAGCCUGACGCAGCCAUGCCGCGUGAAUUAUGAAGGUCUUNGGCUUUNUNUAUUCUUUCACCUGGGANGCUAAUGACGGUACCCGGAGAAGAAGCCCCGGCUAACUUCGUGCCGCCAGCCGCGGUAAUACGUAGGGGGCUAGCGUUGCUCGGAAUUACUGGGCGUAAAGGGCGCGUAGCCGGCAAUUUAAGUCAGGGGUGAGAUCCCAGGGCUCAACUCUGGAACUGCCUUUGAUACUGGGUGUCUUGAGUGUCAGAGAGGUAGGUGGAACUCCGAGUGUAGAGGUGAAAUUCGUAGAUAUUCGGAAGAACACAAGUGGCGAAGGCGACAUACUGGCUCAUUACUGACGCUGAGGCGCGAAAGCGUGGGGAGCAAACA
rnacentral:rRNA from 1 species